GCAGCAGCCGCGGGAAUACGGAGGAUCCAAGCGUUAUCCGGAAUCAUUGGGUUUAAAGGGUCCGUAGGCGGUCUUGUAAGUCAGUGGUGAAAGCCCAUCGCUCAACGGUGGAACGGCCAUUGAUACUGCAGGACUUGAAUUAUUGGGAAGUAACUAGAAUAUGUAGUGUAGCGGUGAAAUGCUUAGAGAUUACAUGGAAUACCAAUUGCGAAGGCAGGUUACUACCAAUUGAUUGACGCUGAUGGACGAAAGCGUGGGUAGCGAACAGGAUUAGAUACCCCCGUAGUCCCUGUCUCUUAUAC
rnacentral:rRNA from 1 species